GCUCCGGUGGCCUAGUGGUUGGAACGUCUGCCUCUGAUGCGGGAUGUCGUGGAUUCGAAUCCCGUCCGAGUCA